AGAGCAAAGGAUAGACAGCGCCCGCGGAGCUCGCUCCCGGGGCUACCCUACUCCCGUAGGGUUUAGAGUCGUCGGGCCUCUCGGAGAAGCUCGGUCCUGAACUCCACCCUUGAAUAAACUACCUUUGUUGCUUUGGCGGGCCGCCUCGUGCCAGCGGCUUCGGCUGUUGAGUGCCCGCCAGAGGACCCCAACUCUUGUUUUUAGUGAUGUCUGAGUACUAUAUAAUAGUUAAAACUUUCAACAACGGAUCUCUUGGUUCUGGCAUCGAUGAAGAACGCAGCGAAAUGCGAUAAGUAAUGUGAAUUGCAGAAUUCAGUGAAUCAUCGAAUCUUUGAACGCACAUUGCGCCCUCUGGUAUUCCGGGGGGCAUGCCUGUUCGAGCGUCAUUAUAACCACUCAAGCUCUCGCUUGGUAUUGGGGUUCGCGGUUUCGCGGCCCCUAAAAUCAGUGGCGGUGCCUGUCGGCUCUACGCGUAGUAAUACUCCUCGCGAUUGAGUCCGGUAGGUCUACUUGCCAGCAACCCCUAAUUU
rnacentral:rRNA from 1 species